AACAUCUAAUAAAAUUCCCGCAUUUGUUGAACUUCCCGGGAAAAGAAAAAGGAAAACCCUAAACUAAAAAUCCCCCAAAAUUCAAUCUUCUGAUCCUAAUUCCCAUCUAUACAAACCCUAAUUCACAAAUUCAUUCCACUCAGAUAAUUCACAAUUAAUUUAAAAUCGAUAAUAAAAAAAACCCAAAAUGCCAGAAGCAAAUAAAUCAGAAAGCCCAGAGAAAAUGACAGAGUAUGAAAAGCAAAGAAUGAAAAGAAUACAAGAAAACACAGAAAGAAUGAAAGCAUUGGGCUUGCAUAAUCUGGCUGCUUCUACUUCUUCUUUAUUUCAAAUAACAAAAAAGGAAAAAAGAAAUUGAAAAAAGAUGAAGAAGAUGAUGAUGAGGAUUAUAAGCCGAAAGAUGAUGAUUUUAGCUCUUCAAGCGAAUCGGGAGAAGCCAACGAUGAUGAAGAUUAUCAUGUUAAGCCAAAGCUGAUAAAAUCAACACCAAUCAAGAAAGUCUUAAAGCUUUCAGGCAACUUGGGUUUUGUUGAUGAUGAUGAUGCCUUAAUGAAGGCUAUUGCUCUUUCUUUGCAAGAUUCACCAGGCUUUUUGGAUGUAGCGAGCAACACCCCUCCUCAGCCUAUUGAUACAAAGGCAUUAAGUGUCAGAAAUAUUGAAAGGAAGCAUAUUGUACACAAGGAUGAUUCUGGUAAACGAAAGAGAAAAAAUGUGAAACUGGCAAAGGAGAAAUUAAUCUACGGGACUUGCGUAGAGUAGCAGCUUCACAUGAUUUCACAUGGAAUGAUGAGGAGAUGGAUCAUAUGAUCCGGUUCUUUGAUAGUGAUGUAGAUGGAAAGCUAAGCCUCGAGGAUUUCAGUAAGAUUGUUGAGCGUUGCAAUAUGAGACAAGGGUCUGAAAUUUCAGAACAGGCUUCAUGAGUUAACGAGGUACAGACCCAUAGUAGUUCCUAAUGGUGAUUUGAAUCGAGAUUACCUACAAUACUUGUUAUGUCUUUUCUACGAGUAUUAUACAAAUGCAUUAAGGCUCGUGUCAUGUUAUGAUGAAGGUUUGGUAAAUUGUCUGUUUUGGCAAUUGACAAAAGUGAAAAUCAGAUUGUCAUGGAAGAUUGAAUUGGCGCCCUGUUUAAUAGGAUUUAAAAUGGCCCGUUCCUAUUGAGCCUAGAUUUUGUAAUAUUCUUCUCUGUAUAUGACAACCAAUACUGUAAUAUCUAAUGAACGACUUGCAUAGACUGACAAA